rnacentral:rRNA from 1 species
UACGGAGGGUGCAAGCGUUAAUCGGAAUUACUGGGCGUAAAGCGUGCGCAGGCGGUUUGUUAAGUCUGCUGUGAAAUCCCCGAGCUCAACUUGGGAAUUGCAGUGGAUACUGGCAGGCUGGAGUAUGGUAGAGGAAGGUGGAAUUCCCGGUGUAGCAGUGAAAUGCAUAGAGAUCGGGAGGAACACCAGUGGCGAAGGCGGCCUUCUGGACCAAUACUGACGCUCAUGCACGAAAGCGUGGGGAGCAAACAGG